UACGUAGGGGGCGAGCGUUGUCCGGAAUCAUUGGGCGUAAAGAGCGUGUAGGCGGCCAAACAGGUCCGUUGUGAAAACUGGAGGCUCAACCUCCAGACGUCGACGGAAACCGUGUGGCUAGAGUCCGGAAGAGGAGAGUGGAAUUCCUGGAUGUAGCGGUGAAAUGCGCAGAUAUCAGGAAGAACACCAAUGGCGAAGGCAGCUCUCUGGGACGGUACUGACGCUGAGACGCGAAGCGUGGGAGCAAGCAGG
rnacentral:rRNA from 1 species